rnacentral:rRNA from 1 species
UACAGAGGAUGCAAGUGUUAUCCGGAAUUAUUGGGCGUAAAGCGUCUGUAGGUUGAUAAUUAAGUCUUUUAUUAAAUCUUUAAGCUUAACUUAAAUACUGUAAAAGAAACUAUUUAUCUAGAGUAUAGUAGAGGUUAAAGGAAUUUCCAGUGGAGCGGUGAAAUGUGUAGAUAUUGGAAAGAACACCGAAAGCGAAGGCAUUUAACUAGGCUAUUACUGACACUCAGAGACGAAAGCUAGGGGAGCAAAUCGG